GUGAAAAGGAUCACAUUCAAACAAUAACCCCUUUGUUUGACCGUGAAACUUUCUCCCAUCCCCCUUUGUCUUAAAGAUAAAGACAUAGAUCAAGCCAGGCCUACCCCGCCUGGCUUAUUU
rnacentral:sRNA from 22 species